rnacentral:rRNA from 1 species
UGAGGAAUAUUGGUCAAUGGGCGCGAGCCUGAACCAGCCAAGUCGCGUGAGGGAUGACGGCCCUACGGGUUGUAAACCUCUUUUGUCGGGGAGCAAAUUCCGUUACGUGUAACGGAGUCGAGAGUACCCGAAGAAAAAGCAUCGGCU